GUGGGGAAUUUUGGACAAUGGGCGAAAGCCUGAUCCAGCCAUGCCGCGUGCAGGAUGAAGGCCUUCGGGUUGUAAACUGCUUUUGUACGGAACGAAAAGACUCCGUCUAAUAAAGGGGGUCCAUGACGGUACCGUAAGAAUAAGCACCGGCUAACUACGUGCCAGCAGCCGCGGUAAUACGUAGGGUGCAAGCGUUAAUCGGAAUUACUGGGCGUAAAGCGUGCGCAGGCGGUUAUAUAAGACAGAUGUGAAAUCCCCGGGCUCAACCUGGGAACUGCAUUUGUGACUGUAUAGCUAGAGUACGGUAGAGGGGGAUGGAAUUCCGCGUGUAGCAGUGAAAUGCGUAGAUAUGCGGAGGAACACCGAUGGCGAAGGCAAUCCCCUGGGCCAGCACUGACGCUCAUGCACGAAAGCGUGGGGAGCAAACAGGAUUAGAUACCCGUGUAGUCC
rnacentral:rRNA from 1 species